AAUGGGCGCAAGCCUGAUCCAGCCAUGCCGCGUGAGUGAUGAAGGCCUUAGGGUCGUAAAGCUCUUUCGCCAGAGAUGAUAAUGACAGUAUCUGGUAAAGAAACCCCGGCUAACUCCGUGCCAGCAGCCGCGGUAAUACGGAGGGGGUUAGCGUUGUUCGGAAUUACUGGGCGUAAAGCGCACGUAGGCGGAUCAGAAAGUAUAGGGUGAAAUCCCAGGGCUCAACCCUGGAACUGCCUUGUAAACUCCUGGUCUUGAGUUCGAGAGAGGUGAGUGGAAUUCCGAGUGUAGAGGUGAAAUUCGUAGAUAUUCGGAGGAACACCAGUGGCGAAGGCGGCUCACUGGCUCGAUACUGACGCUGAGGUGCGAAAGUGUGGGGAGCAAACAGGAUU
rnacentral:rRNA from 1 species